GUUUGUCACUGCGUAGUUGGGAAAAGUGGGGAAUGGUGACGCAGUCACUGUUGCAUCUUGCUAGGAGCUCUGUGGGGACAGGUAGUGAGGCUCCCGGGGUCUGUGGGGCCAGCUGAGAGGGGUCAAGGAUGAGCCGAGAAGGGAAGCUAGCAUUUAGAGAUUAAAUGUCAUCCUUUUGGCGUUGGAAAGUUGUUUACCUUGCGCUCUCUGUGUCUCCAUAUUGGCUCCCUUCCAGUUCACAUGUGAUGGCCUUCCCUGUACUGCUGCAUCAUUAACUAAGUGACUGAGCUGGCCUUCCAUUGGCCAGGGGAGGGCUCUCACUCCAGACACUUCCUCUGAUUGGUGGGUGGGCCAAUGGCAGGUGAAAAGCUUUUUAUGAUUGGCUGAGGGCAGGGUAUCAAAUCUGAAUUUGCAUUUCACUUGCUUAAAGGGGAGGGGGGAGAAGCCCAGCAGCUUUCUAAAAUCUCUUCAGGGGUGUGCGUAGGCUCGUGUGUCUGCCUGCUUUUGACUGCCCAGUCGAAGCUUCUUCCUGUGCCUUUUAAAAUUUCAUAGACUAUAGGGAAGAAUAUCUCAGGUCUCCCCAAACUUUCUUUUUUGGAGGGAGGAAGGUUGGGGAGAUGGAUGUGCAGAAGGUUGACCAAAUUGGAAAAAAAAAUAUUUGUCCUUUAGUUUGGUGUUAGAAAAGGGAAUUUUCCAAUCAGCCACACCUCAGUGUUGCGGCAAAAUAAUUCUUGGCUCCCCUGGAAACGCUUGGGCAAGGUAGGGCAGAGCUGCUGCUGCUGCUAUUGCCACCACCCUGGGCUUCCUGCUGACUCUGGGCUACUCCCCGGGGACAAGAGAUUUGCAUUGACGUCUGGGGCAGUCCAAAGAUCCUCAAGAGCCAGUCCUGAGCUGAGACCACUAUGGGAAGACCUGCCUUUUGGAAGCUGCUGCUACCUGGUGCUUGGAAAGGUGAGAACGGGGACAGACCCCAGGAAAUUGCUCAGAAACUGCGUAUUUUGUGGGAUUUCCCCCAAAGUCACAGGGCAAUGAGAGGUUUCAAGGUGCUGGGUUGGAAUGGUUCGUCAGCCUGGGGAACCUGGAGAGAGAGUAAAA
rnacentral:lncRNA from 1 species